rnacentral:rRNA from 1 species
UGAGAUCACGGGCAGAACUCAUACGGUAGGCAGCAGUUAGGCACUAAUUGGUCCCAAUGGUAUGGCACUCUGUACCACGCCAUGCCGCGUGUUGGAUGAAUGCCCUCUGGGUUGUAAACUUCUUUUAAAUGGGUAGUAAACAGUUGCAUUUAUGCUAUACUGACGGUACCAUUGGAAUAAGCACCGGCUAACUCCGUGCCAGCAGCCGCGGUAAUACGGAGGGUGCAAGCGUUAUCCGGAAUCACUGGGUUUAAAGGGUACGUAGGCGGUUUAUUAAGUCAGUCGUGAAAGUUUGUUGCUUAACGAUAAAAUUGCGAUUGAUACUGAUAGGCUGGAAUAUGGUAGAGGCUGGCGGAAUGAGACAAGUAGCGGUGAAAUGCAUAGAUAUGUCUCAGAACACCGAUUGCGAAGGCAGCUGGCUAUGCCAUUAUUGACGCUGAGGUACGAAAGUGCGGGUAGCAAACAGGAUUAGAUACCCUGGUAGUCCACACCCUAAACGAUGUUCAUUAGUUGUUGGCGAUAUACAGUCAGUGACAAAGCGAAAGCGUUAAAUGAACCACCUGGGGAGUACGUUCGCAAGAAUGAAACUCAAAGGAAUUGACGGGGGUCCGCACAAGCGGAGGAGCAUGUGGUUUAAUUCGAUGAUACGCGAGGAACCUUACCUGGGCUAGACAUGUUAGUGUAACGUUACUUGAAAGGGUUUUUUGGUAGCAAUACUACACGUAAACCAAGGUGCUGCAUGGCUGUCGUCAGCU